CAGCCGCCACGGGAACACGGAGGGGGCUAGCGUUGUUUGGAAUCACUGGGCGUAAAGCGCACGAAGGCGGCUUGGUAAGUUAGAGGUGAAAGCCCGGAGCUCAACUCCGGAAUUGCCUUUAAGACUGCCGAGCUAGUAGGUGAGAGAGGUAAGUGGAAUUCCGAGUGUAGAGGUGAAAUUCGUAGAUAUUCGGAAGAACACCAGUGGCGAAGGCGGCUUACUGGCUCAUUCUAGACGCUGAGGUGCGAAAGCGUGGGGAGCAAACAGGAUUAGAUACCCGCGUAGUCCCUGUCUCUUAUAC
rnacentral:rRNA from 1 species